GGGUUGUGAGGUUAAGCGACUAAGCGUACACGGUGGAUGCCCUGGCAGUCAGAGGCGAUGAAGGACGUGCUAAUCUGCGAUAAGCGUCGGUAAGGUGAUAUGAACCGUUAUAACCGGCGAUUUCCGAAUGGGGAAACCCAGUGUGUUUCGACACACUAUCAUUAACUGAAUCCAUAGGUUAAUGAGGCGAACCGGGGGAACUGAAACAUCUAAGUACCCCGAGGAAAAGAAAUCAACCGAGAUUCCCCCAGUAGCGGCGAGCGAACGGGGAGCAGCCCAGAGCCUGAAUCAGUGUGUGUGUUAGUGGAAGCGUCUGGAAAGGCGCGCGAUACAGGGUGACAGCCCCGUACACAAAAAUGCACAUGCUGUGAGCUCGAUGAGUAGGGCGGGACACGUGGUAUCCUGUCUGAAUAUGGGGGGACCAUCCUCCAAGGCUAAAUACUCCUGACUGACCGAUAGUGAACCAGUACCGUGAGGGAAAGGCGAAAAGAACCCCGGCGAGGGGAGUGAAAAAGAACCUGAAACCGUGUACGUACAAGCAGUGGGAGCACGCUUAGGCGUGUGACUGCGUACCUUUUGUAUAAUGGGUCAGCGACUUAUAUUCUGUAGCAAGGUUAACCGAAUAGGGGAGCCGAAGGGAAACCGAGUCUUAACUGGGCGUUAAGUUGCAGGGUAUAGACCCGAAACCCGGUGAUCUAGCCAUGGGCAGGUUGAAGGUUGGGUAACACUAACUGGAGGACCGAACCGACUAAUGUUGAAAAAUUAGCGGAUGACUUGUGGCUGGGGGUGAAAGGCCAAUCAAACCGGGAGAUAGCUGGUUCUCCCCGAAAGCUAUUUAGGUAGCGCCUCGUGAAUUCAUCUCCGGGGGUAGAGCACUGUUUCGGCAAGGGGGUCAUCCCGACUUACCAACCCGAUGCAAACUGCGAAUACCGGAGAAUGUUAUCACGGGAGACACACGGCGGGUGCUAACGUCCGUCGUGAAGAGGGAAACAACCCAGACCGCCAGCUAAGGUCCCAAAGUCAUGGUUAAGUGGGAAACGAUGUGGGAAGGCCCAGACAGCCAGGAUGUUGGCUUAGAAGCAGCCAUCAUUUAAAGAAAGCGUAAUAGCUCACUGGUCGAGUCGGCCUGCGCGGAAGAUGUAACGGGGCUAAACCAUGCACCGAAGCUGCGGCAGCGACACUAUGUGUUGUUGGGUAGGGGAGCGUUCUGUAAGCCUGUGAAGGUGUGCUGUGAGGUAUGCUGGAGGUAUCAGAAGUGCGAAUGCUGACAUAAGUAACGAUAAAGCGGGUGAAAAGCCCGCUCGCCGGAAGACCAAGGGUUCCUGUCCAACGUUAAUCGGGGCAGGGUGAGUCGACCCCUAAGGCGAGGCCGAAAGGCGUAGUCGAUGGGAAACAGGUUAAUAUUCCUGUACUUGGUGUUACUGCGAAGGGGGGACGGAGAAGGCUAUGUUGGCCGGGCGACGGUUGUCCCGGUUUAAGCGUGUAGGCUGGUUUUCCAGGCAAAUCCGGAAAAUCAAGGCUGAGGCGUGAUGACGAGGCACUACGGUGCUGAAGCAACAAAUGCCCUGCUUCCAGGAAAAGCCUCUAAGCAUCAGGUAACAUCAAAUCGUACCCCAAACCGACACAGGUGGUCAGGUAGAGAAUACCAAGGCGCUUGAGAGAACUCGGGUGAAGGAACUAGGCAAAAUGGUGCCGUAACUUCGGGAGAAGGCACGCUGAUAUGUAGGUGAGGUCCCUCGCGGAUGGAGCUGAAAUCAGUCGAAGAUACCAGCUGGCUGCAACUGUUUAUUAAAAACACAGCACUGUGCAAACACGAAAGUGGACGUAUACGGUGUGACGCCUGCCCGGUGCCGGAAGGUUAAUUGAUGGGGUUAGCGCAAGCGAAGCUCUUGAUCGAAGCCCCGGUAAACGGCGGCCGUAACUAUAACGGUCCUAAGGUAGCGAAAUUCCUUGUCGGGUAAGUUCCGACCUGCACGAAUGGCGUAAUGAUGGCCAGGCUGUCUCCACCCGAGACUCAGUGAAAUUGAACUCGCUGUGAAGAUGCAGUGUACCCGCGGCAAGACGGAAAGACCCCGUGAACCUUUACUAUAGCUUGACACUGAACAUUGAGCCUUGAUGUGUAGGAUAGGUGGGAGGCUUUGAAGUGUGGACGCCAGUCUGCAUGGAGCCGACCUUGAAAUACCACCCUUUAAUGUUUGAUGUUCUAACG
rnacentral:rRNA from 1 species